GACAGAGGUCCCGAGCGUUAGACGGAAUCACUGGGCUUAAAGCGUGUGUAGGCGGAUCUGUAAGUACCUUGUGAAAUCCCAUAGCUUAACUAUGGAACUGCUUGGUAUACUGCGGGUCUUGAGCCACUUAGGGGCAACCGGAACAAAUGGUGGAGCGGUGAAAUGCGUAGAUAUCGUCUGGAACGCCGAAGGUGAAAACAGCUCGCUGGGGCUGCGCUGACGCUGAGACACGAAAGCCAGGGGAGCGAACGGG
rnacentral:rRNA from 1 species